rnacentral:rRNA from 1 species
UACAGAGGGCUCAAGCGUUGUUCGGAUUCAUUGGGCGUAAAGGGUGCGUAGGUGGUGCUGUAAGUCGGGUGUGAAAUUUCGGAGCUUAACUCCGAAACUGCAUUCGAUACUGCCGUGCUUGAGGACUGGAGAGGAGACUGGAAUUUACGGUGUAGCGGUGAAAUGCGUAGAUAUCGUAAGGAAGACCAGUGGCGAAGGCGGGUCUCUGGACAGUUCCUGACGCUGAGGCACGAAGGUCAGGGGAGCAAACGGG